UACGUAGGUGGCAAGCGUUGUCCGGAUUUACUGGGCGUAAAGGGCGUGCAGGCGGUUUGUUAAGUGCAGAGUGAAAGCUCCCGGCUCAACUGGGAGAGGUCUUUGCAUACUGGCAAACUCGAGGGAGGCAGAGGAAAGUGGAAUUCCUAGUGUAGAGGUGAAAUGCGCAGAUAUCAGGAGGAACACCGGUGGCGAAGGCGGGUCUCUGGGCCGAUACUGACGCUGAGGAGCGAAAGCGUGGGGAGCGAACAGG
rnacentral:rRNA from 1 species